GUAACCUUUACCAGGUUCUUGACAUCCCGAUGCUUAUUUCUAGAGAUAGAAAGUUACUUCGGUACAUCGGUGACAGGUGGUGCAUGGUUGUCGUCAGCUCGUGUCGUGAGAUGUUGGGUUAAGUUCCGCAACGAGCGCAACCCCUAUUGUUAGUUGCCAUCAUUCAGUUUGGGCACUCUAGCGAGACUGCCGGUAAUAAACCGGAGGAAGUGGGAUGACGUCAAAUCAUCAUGCCCCUUAUGACCUGGGCUACACACGUGCUACAAUGGUUGGUACAACGAGUUGCGAGUCGGUGACGGCGAGCUAAUCUCUUAAAGCCAAUCUCAGUUCGGAUUGUAGGCUGCAACUCGCCUACAUGAAGUCGGAAUCGCUAGUAAUCGCGGAUCAGCACGCCGCGGUGAAUACGUUCCCGGGCCUU
rnacentral:rRNA from 1 species